UACGAACCGUACGAACGUUAUUCGGUAUCACUGGGCUUAAAGCGUGCGUAGGCGGCCUUGCAGGUCGGGUGUGAAAUCCCACGGCUCAACCGUGGAACUGCGCCCGAAACCGUGAGGCUUGAGGAAAGCAGGGGUGUGCGGAACAGAUGGUGGAGCGGUGAAAUGCGUUGAUAUUAUCUGGAACACCGGUGGCGAAAGCG
rnacentral:rRNA from 1 species